rnacentral:rRNA from 1 species
UUCUUACUUUAUUACUGUAAGUAACACCUGCUCAAUGAACUAUUAAAUAGCCGCGGAAAUUUAACCGUGCUAAGGUAGCAUAAUCAUUAGCCUUUUAAUUAAAGGCUCGUAUGAAUGGUGAAACAUUUCAAUUACUUUAUUAAUUAAUAUUUUUAAAUUUAAAUUAAGAAUAAAAAUGUUCUUAUACAUAAAAUAGACAACAAGACCCUAUUGAACUUUACUUUAGUUUAGCUGGGGCAGCUAAAAAAGAAAUAUCUUUUAAUUAUCUAAAACAUAAAUGACCCAAUAUAAUUGAUUAUAUGAACAAGUUACCAUAGGGAUAACAGCGUAAUAUUUUUUCAAAGCUCUUAUUUAAAAAAUUGAUUACGACCUCGAUGUUGAAUUAGUGUAACUCUAUAAACGCAAUAGUUUUAGAAGUAGGUCUGUUCGACCUUCAAAACACUACAU